UACGGAGGGAGCUAGCGUUGUUCGGAAUUACUGGGCGUAAAGCGCGCGUAGGCGGUUACUCAAGUCAGAGGUGAAAGCCCGGGGCUCAACUCCGGAACUGCCUUUGAAACUAGGUGACUAGAAUCUUGGAGAGGUCAGUGGAAUUCCGAGUGUAGAGGUGAAAUUCGUAGAUAUUCGGAAGAACACCAGUGGCGAAGGCGACUGACUGGACAAGUAUUGACGCUGAGGUGCGAAAGCGUGGGGAGCAAAC
rnacentral:rRNA from 2 species